rnacentral:ncRNA from 1 species
GUCCGGUACUGCGGGAGCCGGAGCGGAUGGUCACAUUCGCCGGCUGAGAGGGCUUGAGCGCCGACCGCCACACCUGAUCCGGUUAGUACCGGCGGAGGGAAGGACGAGGAGCAUGGA